rnacentral:rRNA from 1 species
GACGAACGCUGGCGGCGUGCCUAACACAUGCAAGUCGAACGGAAAGGCCCUGCUUUUGUUGGGUGCUCGAGUGGCGAACGGGUGAGUAACACGUGAGUAACCUGCCCUUGACUUUGUGAUAACUUCAGGAAACUGGGGCUCAUACCCCAUAGGAGCUCCUGCUGCGUGGUGUGGGUUGGAAAGUUUCGGCGGUUGGGGAUGGACUCGCGGCUUAUCAGCUUGUUGGGGGGGUAGUGGCUGACGAAGGGUUUGACGGGUAGCCGGCCUGGGAGGGUGACCGGCCACAUUGGGACUGAGAGACGGACCAGACUCCUACGGGAGGCAGCAGUGGGGAAUAUUGCACAAUGGGCGGAAGCCUGAUGCAGCAACGCCGCGUGCGGGAUGACGGCCUUCGGGUUGUAAACCGCUUUCGCCUGUGACGAAGCGUGAGUGACGGUAAUGGGUAAAGAAGCACCGGCUAACUACGUG